rnacentral:tRNA from 1 species
GCCUAGAUACGCCAACUGGAAGAGCGACUCGCCUUAAACCCGAGUGUUUGCAGGUUCGAAUCCUGUUCUGGGUA